rnacentral:rRNA from 1 species
UACGAAGGAGGCUAGCGUUGUUCGGAAUCACUGGGCGUAAAGGGCGCGUAGGCGGCGCGACAAGUCAGGCGUGAAAGCCCCGGGCUCAACCCGGGAAUUGCGCUUGAUACUGUCGUGCUUGAGGCCGGGAGAGGAUGGCGGAAUCCCCAGUGUAGAGGUGAAAUUCGUAGAUAUUGGGAAGAACACCGGUGGCGAAGGCGGCCAUCUGGACCGGUUCUGACGCUGAGGCGCGAAAGCCAGGGGAGCGAACGGG